rnacentral:rRNA from 1 species
UGGGGAAUAUUGGACAAUGGGGGCAACCCUGAUCCAGCAAUGCCGCGUGUGUGAAGACGGCCUUCGGGUUGUAAAGCACUUUAGUUGGGGAGGAAGUUAUGUAUUUUAAGAGAUAGCAUAAUUGACUGUACCCAAAGAAUAAGCACCGGCUAACUCUGUGCCAGCAGCCGCGGUAAUACAGAGGGUGCGAGCGUUAAUCGGAAUUACUGGGCGUAAAGGGCGCGUAGGCGGUGUAUUAAGUUAGAUGUGAAAUCCCUGGGCUUAACCUAGGAACUGCAUAUAAUACUGGUACGCUAGAGUGCAGUAGAGGAUAGUGGAAUUUCCGGUGUAGCGGUGAAAUGCGUAGAUAUCGGAAGGAACACCAGUGGCGAAGGCGGCUAUCUGGACUGACACUGACGCUGAGGCGCGAAAGCGUGGGGAGCAAACAGG